UAUAAUUAUUGCCGCUGCUGCCGCUUUUUAUUUUUAAUUUUGUUUGGCUGUCGCUCAAAUUUCGACCGAGAGAGCGGCGAAUCGAAUAGGAAAAAGAGCGAGAGGAUCGAGUUGGAGAAACGCACAAAUCUCUGAGCACAAUUGGAAAAGCCAAAGGAAUUGGAAUCGGGAGCUGCGUUCUAACAUAUGGCGGCGAAAAAAGUGCCAAUUCGGAGAGCGCCACCGAUCGCUCAAAGUGCUAUAGUUAAUAAAUUUCAGAAAAAUGCAACCCUGCGUCUCCCCUCUCCCGCUCUACAACUUGCAAGAAUGACACGAUGAUGACGUUAAUGGGAACUCUGUAGCUGUGGAUGUGCGCAGCUCACAUACACAAGCACACACAGAUACUCUCGCACUCGCUUACAAAAACACUCACACACCAAUACACUGACAGCAAAGUCGACCGCAAAGUCAUUUGAUUAAUAAUUCCCGCAUUCUUUUUUGCCUGCGAAUUUCACAAAUAAACACAAUUGUUUCCAAUCA